rnacentral:lncRNA from 1 species
UAUUGUAAUUUGAGAUUUAGAGAAGUUACUCUCUCUCUGCUUACAGACCUUGGUCCUUCAGGGACAAGCCAGCAUGAGGGAUGAAUGAAUACGCAUGAGGGAGCAAAGACAAGGCAGGGGAUCAAGCCAGAAGGAUUUGGUAGCAAAGAAGGGAUUGACAUUGGCACUGAUGGGAAGGAGAGACUGCCGUGGUUUGCCCAAAAAUGAGACAGAACGUUUUCUUUCCUCCUGACGGAUAUGCAUUGGAAACAGGCAAAAGCUGAGAUUGGGAAGGUGAUGAGAGAAACAAUACAACCAGAACCCCGUCUCCACAAUCUGAAGUAAAGAAGAAAUCUUACAUCAUGGAUAAACUCAUUUUUCUGCUGAUGAUGGAUGAAGGGUGAGUUUAUGCAUGAGCUAUUGCUGUUUAUAGUUCCAGGGACGCUGAAUUACAAAUGCAGAUGAGGGCUGUAUUUUAACACUUGGGAAACAACUUUCUGAACCCCUUGGCAGGGCUGUUGAACUAAACACAAAGCUUUUAUCUCUCUGAAUCUCUCAGGGCAUAUUAAUCCUUCACUUAGAGGUUUGUCAGAUGAAAAGCUGUUUGAAGGGUUUGCUAUUGUUUUGAUUGUGUCUGGAUUGUAUUGGUGCUGUGUACAGAUCACAUAAAGGCGGAGUCAGGAGUCCCGGAAAGCUCCUGCUGGGAGAGACCAGGGCUGGAGGGACCGGUGAUUUGACAGCCCCGCGUUUCUUAUGCUCUUAGGCUCGUUGGAUCCUACAAAUCCUUACUUACCAAGCAAUCUUCUCCCAUGUAAGUAGCUUUGAGCACUCAGGAAAUACAGGAAUCUUUAUCUGA